rnacentral:tRNA from 1 species
UAAGAAAUAGACUAAUUUUAUAUUUAAGUCGUUAAAUUCAUAAUUUAAAAAUAAAAAAAAUUUUUUUUUUUCUUUA